CCGGGGCCGAGCCCGCACCGCCGGGCCGCCGCCGCCGCCCCGCGCAGCAUGGCCCACAGCGCCGGCCGCGGCCGGGGAGCGGGGCCGUAACACAGCUGUAACACAGGAGAGCACGGCAGGCACCGCCAAGUGCAGGAAGGGGCGGUGCCUGCAGGCGGGGCCGGGCCGGGCCGGGCGCUACCGCUGCUCGCUGCGCUGCGGAGCGGGCCUGUGUACAAGAAAGACAAGAAGCUACUGGAGAGGGUGCAGCAGAGAGCACAAAGAUGAGGAGGGGUCUGGAGCAUCUCUUGGAUGAGGAGAGACUGUGGGAGCUGGGCCUGUUUAGUCUAGAGAACCUGAGUCUAGGGGACCUCAUUAAUAAGUAACUUAAAGAGCAUAUGAAGAAAACAAAGCUUAACUGGCUGCAGCACCUUGAUCCACUUUGGACAUUGUAAUUGGAGUGAAUAAAGGAGUAAUGGAACAGA